rnacentral:tRNA from 1 species
AAGACACUAGUAUAAACGACCAAUACACUGCUUUGUCAAGGCAGAGUUGUGAGUUAGACCCUCGCGUGUCUUG